rnacentral:rRNA from 1 species
UACGUAGGGUGCAAGCGUUGCCCGGAUUUAUUGGGCGUAAAGGGCGCGCAGGCGGCUACGCACGUCCGUUGUGAAAUCGCUCGGCUCAACUGGGCGGGGUCGGCGGAUACGGCGUAGCUGGAGCAAGCUAGGGGGCAAUGGAAUUCCCGGUGUAGUGGUGGAAUGCGUAGAUAUCGGGAGGAACACCAGUGGCGAAGGCGGUUGCCUGGAGCUUUGCUGACGCUGAGGCGCGAAAGCGUGGGGAGCGAGUCCGG